AGAGUAUGAGGCUAAAUGAGAAGGGAGGCAAAAAGUAAUUUUUUAAAAUUCGACCAGUUGAGCUUUGUGUGGUAUCAAAAUGAAAAAUGAGGAUUAAAUUACGUGUGGAUUGUUCCCGUCUAUGCUUUUGAGAGGAAUAAUGAUUAUUUUGUAAGCUGUGGUGACAGCUACCGGCGCCCUGGAACCAGCAGAGAGAUGGGAGCUCUUGUUAAAGAUGUUUUCAUGGAGUGGGAACAAGGCUGGGCUGCUGUCACCAGGAGCAGAGCAGGGGCUGAGGUGUGGGGGCAGCUAAUUGGUGUUAAUGAAUAACGAGAGGGGAUUAAUGAGCCCCAGGAGCUGCCUGGAGCUCAGUGCAGGGGCUGCAGACCCCCAGCCACAGCAGAUUUUGGGGGGUCUUUGGCCACCCCCUGCCCAAAGCCAGGCCUGGUGUUUGCAGGACACCACAGGAAGACUUUCCAGGGAGAGUUUGUCUCCACAGGGGAGGCUGAGAAGUUUAAUCCCCUCUUUAAUAAUUGCAAUUAACUAAGGUGGGAUUUAAGGGGGAUUAGCCCAGUGCACUAAGGCAGUGUGUAAACACAUCCUCGGCCUUGGGCUGCCUCAGCGUGGGGCUGAGCUCACCCUGCCCCUCUUUCCUUGGGAUGAUUUGUGAUGGUUUUGAUGUGUUUUAGAGGCACUUCUGGCUGUUUACUCUCCUGUGAGAGCACAGAAAUUGCCCUGACUCUGGGGAGAGCCUGAGGGAGGGUAAUGUGCCAGAAAUUCCUGCCUUUUGCUGCAAUUUCAUGGGGUGAUUCUUGAGAUUGGCCUGUGCAGGGCCAGGAGCUGAAUUGAUGAUCCUUGUGGCUCCAGCUCUGAUUGUUCUCCAAUUCUGUGAUCAUUUCACUGAGAAAACUUCUGGGCCUGGAGGGUCCUGCCCUGAUUGAUGUCACUGGACUCAGAAUAAAGCUCAGAAGAGUUUAGAAGAGUCUGAGCCAGCUGAAAUGGUGCCUUUGGCAUGAAUGCAGCUCCGUUUCCCUGGAUGUCAGCAGCCUGAGCUCUGGGGUGCUCUCUGGGAGGCACAAGCACCAACCUGCAUGUGCAGUGGGGCUGGCUGAAUAUUUCCCUUUUCCUCUGGAGUGUGGAGCACAAUUCCCCAUUCAAGGCUCAAAAAGAUCAUUUCUAGCUGGACAACUGAGGCAGAAAUCAAAGAAAUGCAUUGGAAGAAGGGGAUGAUCAAGAGGAGACCAUGGAAGACUUUCCAGGAUGCUCCAAGACAUUUCAAAAGAAGCAGAAGCUCCAUUAUUCCUUCCCUGCCUCCCUUCCCAUGGGAGGUAAUUCAGAAUUCUCUCUCUGAGCAAGGGAGAGCAGCUGGGGAAAUGUCAAACAUUCCCAAGGUGGGAGGGAGAGAGUACCCGAGGAGCUCACAAAGGCUUUGACUGGAUUGGGAAGGAGCUCCAGAGCCCCCAAAUGUCUCAGGAACCCUUUCCUCAUCACGUCCUUAAACAUCUCCCAGGUACCACGGGACAGCCUCCCCCAGCUGCGGGCAGAGGGUCUCACCUGAGAUGAGCACCCUGGGCCAUGGCCCCAGCUACAUCAGGGUGGGUUCAGAGGAGACCAGACAUCCCCAGGGGGAGUCCAGAGGAAGAUGCAGCCCUUUUGGGAUGGGUUUUCCUCCCCAGGGGUCCUGCCCUGCCCCAGGAGCCCAGUGUGCUGUGCUGAGAGCAGCAGGGCUGAGCUCCUGCAACAAAAGCUGCUCUGCUGCCCAGGGCCAGCGUCUCCUCGGGAAGCUCGUCUGCAAAAGCAGCUCGGGAGACUUGACAGAGCUGCAGGGGAUGGUGUGGAGCGUUCUCCAAAGCACCCUGGGGACCCAGGGUCUGUUCUGCUGCACAAAUGCGAUUCCCUGUCCUUAGAACACCUCAUGAUUAAGCCACUUCUGAAAAUAGGAUGGCCUUGGAUGGCUGCUGGGCACAUCCCGUGUUUGCUGCUCUGCGAGGAGCGCUGGGUUCCUCAUCACACAGGGACAGGCUCUGGGGGGCUUUUCUUCCUUGAGGAAGCUUCAAAGCUGCCCAGUGCCAAGAAAAAUCAAACCCCAGACCCUGGCCUUGAUUGAAACCCCCAGGCUCAAGACUGUGCAGUUUUUGUAAUGUGUCAAAAACAGGGAGGGGAGGAUCUGAAACCAUCAGUGCUCCUCCCUUUGCUGCCUCCGUGCAGGUGCUCCCCCCUCACUUCCCUCCAGUCUCCUUCUCCUUCCCACCUGCCUUUCCAAUGGGGAACCUCAAUUCCCUGCUCCCCACGUCCAGCAGAGCUCCCUGAACAUCCCUCUGUGCUCCCACUGCUGGCAAAAGCCAGGCUUCAGAGAGAGGAGUGGCCAUGGAGUUCCAUCAGAACUGGUGUCAGUGGCAGAUGCCAGAGCUAAUGAGGGAGGAAAGCCAUGGGCUGAGCAAAAAGUCACAUCAGAAAUACAGAACUGGAAUGGUUUUGGGUGAGUUUCACUGCAUCUUUCUGUGGGCCAAAUGAUUUGAUAACAGAUCCUUGUUUCAGUCAGUUAUUCCAGUUCCACUCCUGGGAUAGAAGUGUCUCCUGAGCACGGCUCCAGGCUCCCCCUCCUGCAGAGCACACAGGAUAACCCUGGCAUGAGGAGGAGAUGGAUCACCACAAACAUCAUUAACAAAAUAAAUCCUCAUCUAAAAUCCUAUCAGAGCUGGAGCAAGCAGGGCACUUGAUCUCCUGUCCCUUGCAGCUCUGAAGCCUUU